AUGAAAAUUGUGGUGUGGAAUUGUCGGGGUUUGGGGAAUGGCCCGGUAAUUUGUGGACUCCUAGAUGUCCGGGAGAAGGAAGACCCCGAUGUGUUGGUUUUGUGUGAAAUGAGGAUGGAUGAGAAGGGCCUUGAGUGGCUUAGGUGGAAAUUAGGACUCCCUAACUGGGUGGUGCAGAAGGGUUCGAGACAAAGUGGUGGCUUGGCAAUGUUAUGGAGGAAUGGGUUGAGAAUGAAAGGGGGAUGGUGCUCUCGGUAUCAUAUCGAGAUGGAGAUUACCAAGGAGGAUGGCUUUGUUUGGAGGUUUACAGGGAUCUAUGGCGAGUCCAAGAUGGAUGAGAAGGAUAAAACUUGGAGGCUACUCCGCACACUAAAUAAUCAUAGCAAUAAACCUGGGCUGAUGGCGGGAGAUUUCAACAAAAUUUUGUUUCAAUGUGAGAAGGAAGGGGGGGGAAGCUUGGCCCAGCAAGCCAUGGAUAGCUUCCAGAGUGCUCUUAAGGAUUGUGAUCUACAUGAUCUCGGUUUUGCAGGAGAUCCUUUUACUUGGCGCAAUAAUGGUCAUGAUCCCCAAAAAUAUAUUCGAGAGAGGCUGGACAGGGUGGUCGCAACUCCGAGCUGGUGUUAACAUUUUCCUUUUUAUAAGGUGGUGAAUGAGGACCCCCAUCAUUCAGAUCAUAGGCCACUAAUAGUGCAUGUUGAGGCAAAAGGAGGCAAGAAUAGAAGCAAAAUAAAAGGAGGCCAGUUUCGGUUUGAGGCAAAGUGGCUUGAGGAGGAACAAUGCAGCACUGUUGUUGAGAAUGCAUGUGGAAGAGAAAUUAAUGCAAGAGGAGGCUCGGUUGUGGAUGCACUGAAAGGAGUUGCACGUGACCUGAUUGAAUGGAGUAAUACAUGUCUGGGUGAUUUGGGUAAACUUAUUGCAAUACAGAAAAAAGAAUUAGAGGCUAGCCGGAGAACUGCAUUAUCGCCUCAAUCGGUGAAUCGGGAGCAGCUUUUGAAAUAUAAACAUGAGAGAUUGGAACAUCAGAGAGAUACCUACUAUAAGCAGCGAGCCCAUGUGACCUAGCUGGAGAAAGGAGACAGAAAUACAUUGUAUUUUCAGGCCUAUGCAGCGGCGAGAAAAAAAUAUGAAUCAUAUUAG
rnacentral:rRNA from 1 species